GUUUGUGAGGACCGUCAUUAGAGCUCACAAGAAUCACUUAUUAAAAAGUAAAAAAUGAAAACUAAAUAUAAUUUUAGUUGAAAAAUUUAAAUUGCUUUUGAAAGCUACUAUCUCUCUCAAAAUCAGGAUUCCAAAAAAUCUUUACUGGGUAUAUACAUGAAACAAUUGCAAAAUACUGAUAUUUAUCACCAAGCUAGAAAAAAAGCCGGAUUCUCCAGUACAUUACUCACCAGUAUCAGAGUACGUUUAGCUUUUGCAACAGUAACCUUUUCUUCAAACAAAUUUAACUUAUCUUAAUUCUGUACUAACCAAAUUAAUGUCAAUGUUUGACUAAUCAUGAUUUCAAAAAGAAAAAAGAUAAAUGUAGAUUAUUUCCCUUCUCUAGUGUAUGAAAAAAAUAGCAACAAAUCCCCUUAAAAAAAAAAAAAACACUUAAGAGGGGUUGAGAAUGACUAAUUUUAAGACCUUGAAGGACAGUGUCCUGAUACAACCAGGUGAGUUCUCUAACCACAGAAAGCACCUCCUCUAGUUAAGCAAGCUAGUUUCUUUUCGCUGCAAGUAUAUUUUUGUUCUGUUUUUCUCUGUACCUUUUUUUCUGUACGUUUCUCUGUACAUUUUUUCUAUGUUCUCUAGCACAUUUAAAAAUAGAGUUUUUAAUUAAGUUAGAAUCUUAAUCCUAUUAUCUUAAUUAAAAAUAGGCUACUGAAAAAUUAUUUUUAAAUCAUUUUUAAUACAUUUAUAAAUCUAAGGUCUCCACCUAAGUGCAAUAAGAAACAGAACACGUAAAAAUGACAGCAAUAAGCAUUACUUCGAGAUGUAGUAGAAAAACAAAUAUAGUUGUUCAAAAUUCCCAGGGUGAACAGGGACAGAGUACAGCUGAGCUCUCUCUAAUCAGAGAGAGGUGCUGCUAGGUCAGAACUGCCAGUAAGAAUGAAAUUUCCUUUGUAAAUACGUCUUUUUUCUCCAUAACAAGCUAAUAAAAUUAACACUGAUAAUGAAAUUUUUUCAUCUGCCACCUUGCUCCAGCCCCUUGCUCUCUCUGUCUUUGGAACUAAUAAGCUUUCUUUUUACCUCUCAUCCUCCCACUUCCAUUAACUGUGCUGGGACCACAGCAGAGCUGGGGAAGAACGGUGGCCAUAGCUUUGUAGUAGGCCUGCCGGCAGCUGCCAUCUUCUCAGCUAAUGUGGAGGAUCACCCACAGAGGUGUCACCCAACCCAAGCUGUACGCAUGUCUCAUCACACAAGGGGAAGGGAAUACUCAUAUCUGGAAGCAGUGAGGAAAAACACGAAGUUGCCCGAGACCCUCAGGGAAGAAAUGCCAGAGGCGUCAUCCAGUCCAGUUAAGAAUCAUUUGUGCAGGAAAAGCUGAGCCUCAAGGUUUCCAAUCUGUAUUGGCCUUGUUUAGCUUUGCUGCCUUCUGUCACUUUGAAAUGUUUUAAAUAAAUCUUUGUAUCUUAGGAAAACCGUGUAUACA
rnacentral:lncRNA from 1 species